ensembl:rRNA 5S_rRNA 5S ribosomal RNA
GCCAGCAGCCAUACCACCCUGCAACUCACAACUGGCAACCCACUGAAGCUAAGCAGGUGUGAGCCUGGUCAGUACCUGGAUGGGAGACCUCCUGGGAAAAACUAAGGUUGCUGCUGGAA